rnacentral:rRNA from 1 species
GACGAACGCUGGCGGCGUGCUUAACACAUGCAGGUCGAACGGAAAGGCCUCUUUCGGGGGGUACUCGCGUGGCGAACGCGUGAGUAACACGUGAGUAUCCUGCCCUUGUCUUUGGGAUAUCUUCAGGAAACUGGGGCUAUUACCGGGUAGGAGCUCCUGCUCUAUGGUGGGGGUUGGAGAGUUUCGGCGGGUGGGGAUGGACUCGCGGCUUAUCAGCUUGUGGGUGGGGUAUUGGCUUACCACGGCUUUGUCGGGUAGCCGGCCGGAGAGGGUGACCGGCCAGAUGGGGAUGGAGAUACGGCCCAGACUCCUAGGGGAGGCAGCAGUGGGGAAUAUUGAAAAAGGGGCGGAAGCCUGAUGCAGCACCGCGGGGGGCGGGAUGACGGCCUUCGGGUUGUAAACCGCUUUCGCCUGUGACGAAGCGUGAGUGACGGUAAUGGGUAAAGAAGCACCGGCUAACUACGUG